CGGGGGGGCGAGCAGCAGGCUGGCAGGCGACUGGGUCGGAGAGGACAUCUGGAGCAGCUGGUGGAGAAGCUUCCCGGGGGCUGCAGGAGCGCAGGGACGACUGGAGAGGGCAAGGAACGUGCUCCGUGGCACCAGGAGAUGCCGAGAAGACUGGGGAGCUGACGCACAGCCAGGCUUCGGCAGCGAAGGAACAAGCCUUGUGCAGAGCUCCAGGAGGGACUCGAGUUUCUUUGAAACCUGGAAGCCCCUCAAAGCUGCUGAAAUUGAAGUCAAAGGACAAAUUCACUCUUCAAGGACACAGUGGAAGGAGCGGGAAGCGAAAGUGAGGAACUUGCUGCUGGAGGAAGCAAAGGAAACGUUGCAACAGCAGGGUCAAAAAGGGAUCAGAAAACUUGAGAGGCAACAGGUCCGUCAGCAGAGACCGAAGGCAGCAGGCAGGGAUUUCUUCUCUAACAUUCCUGGCACAACAAGCGUGGAUGCUGGGGGAGAACAAGGAGGAUGCCCGCGGAGCGGCCAGGCUCGUGUGCAUCCUGAGGAGCAGCUCCUCUUUUGCCAGAGACAGAACCCUAGGCGAGGUGAGCAUCUCGGGUGCAGGCAGAGGAGCUCCCAAGGCUGGAGCUGUAAGAGCCACGGGGGCCAGCAUGGUUUCUGUCACGGCACCGUUCAGCAGCUCUCACAGUGGAAUAGCAAGAUUUAUUUGCCAUGCUGUGCUUUUAACAAAAUACACUGACCCCUAGAUGAGGACAAACGUUGCUUUCUCAUAGGAGCAGACACAGUUGGAAAGCUAGAACCAAAAUAUUUAUCAGUGACUAAAACUUUGGAUUCUUGCUUUCUGAGAGUUGAUCUUAAAACUACCUUUUUUAGAUGUUAAUCUUCUGUGGGAAAAUAAAAUCAUCUGGGAGAGCAGCAGCGCGUUUCAGCGCCGUGUUUCAGCGUGAGCCGCUCUGCGCCGCAGGGAAAGCCGAACCCGAGCUGCCCUGAGCAACAUCCUCGCUCUGGUCUUGUGGGACCUCACAGCACUGAUGGGGAUUUGGCCCUUCUCCAGAGCUGAAAUCAGCCGCGUAGGCAGUAAGUGUGCAUGCGUGUGCAUUUGAGUAGGAUGUUCUUCGACUCCCACAGUUGGCUUUUCUCUCUGGAUGAAUACAUGCUGCAAAAUUUUUGCUCGAGCGGGUUUGCCAAGCACGUCCCCGGAUGGCAGACCGUUACCUGCAGCCUUACCCUGGGUGUGCCACGGCAGCCAGCGCCACCGGAGAAGCCUUUUCAGCGAGGCUCAGUGUUUGAGAUGGCUGCUCCGCUGUGCUAGCAGCAGCUCGCCGCUGCUGAGCUAAUGGCCUCAUCUGGGAUUUUGCUGGAAUAACCCAUCACUCCUCCGUGGGCAUCGCCACGGAGAGAGGCUGAGAGCAAAGAGAAAGGGUACAGAGAGGAGAAGGUACAUCAGCAACAGCAGCUACUUUGUAGAUUUUACUGCUUUUUGAUGUCUCCCUGAAAGCAGGAGUGCCUGCCCCUCCCUGCCUCUCCUUCCUCUGCUGCAGAACUGCUGUGCUCAUGAGCCAGCACAAGUGGGCUUGUGGUUGCAAGGUGACGUGGUCAGGGAAAUGACUCCAGCUGCAGAACCACUGCUUUUUUGCCAUUAACUUUCCAGCUGUGCCAGUUCCCCAGAGGGGGAUGUCUUUGUGGCCUGUCCAUUGCUGCUCAUAGGGCUGUGCAGGGCUGGAGGGGUGCAGGACCAACUCUUCCACUCACAGCACUGGAUUUCUGCCUCAGAUAUUUGCCCAGCUCGAGCACCAGCCCCGAGAGCAUUUGCUCACUCUCUGUCUUUGUCCAUAUCACCGCUGCUUGCUGCAUCCAUCCUGGGAAGGACGCUCUCCAAAGCACGCGGAGCAAAUCGCCCUUUGCAGCUUGCCACCACCCAGCGAGGGCUGUAGGGGCUGGGGAGAGGAGAGGCUCUGCUGGCUCCUGGUCUGACACUGCCGAGUGCAAGAGCUUUUAUUCUGUGUCUGCGUGGCCUGUGGCAGCAGGUCCGGUCACCAUUAAUACCUCUUUUAUCACUACUUGAACUACGUGUAACUCGCAUCGCAAAUUGCAUCUCUUGUAUCCGCUGCGUUUGGCGUUGAACUGCAAAAUCAGGCAUUGUAUAAAAACAAAGGGCAGAGCGUGUGUGCGCGCGCAUGUGUGAGUGCGCCUGGGCCCUCUGCGAAAACCCGAGGUGGAAAUUUGAUGUAGGAACCUGUCACGAGAACGUGCCCUCUACGUGGGAGGGAGCGUGUUUGAUUGCCUGCCUAGAGCGGCUGCAUGGGCAGCCUUUGUUUUGGAAGUUAUGUAAGGAGAUUUGGAGUGCUGCUUAAGUGCCUGGCUGACUGGUUUGUCCUACCAGAAGUGCCUGUGCUUUCUCCCGUUGCGCGAGCUCUCAGGAGACGCCUGGGAGCUCAGGAUGCAGAGCUGGAGCGUGUGGGCCUGCUGCUGACUCUGAUGACGGGGAGAAGACAGGGUUCCCAUCUGCGCAUCGAUCGCUGCUGGGGAAGCGUCCUAGCCCUGCACCGGGAGCUCCUGGAGAUGGACCCUUCGCUCGAGAUCAGGUGCUCGUAGGAAGGUCCGGGUGGGAAGGGACCUUGGGAUGUCACCCGGCUCGUGGCUGUGGCCACGUGCACCAGGAUGCCUCCGUCACUGGUCGUGCCUUUUCUCCAGACAUGUCCCUGGCGCUCCCGAAGCUGAGCACCCCUCCUCCCCGAAGGAUACCCGGUAACUACUUUUCUCUCCUAAACUGUCAUCCCCACACUGUCCGAAAUCUAGCCAGUGCUUCUGAGCACAUCAAGGACAAAGUCAGAGUUAUGAAUCCGCUCUAGCACAGAGAUAAGACUCAGUAUAAUUAGAAACUUUUUAUGUGAAGAAAUGAAUCAAAGCUUCUUCUACUCCUGGGACAUUUUAACUCUUCACAGCUUAUAUUAUUAGUUGCAAAAUCAUUUUUUUCCUCAGUUUCAGGCUAGAAAAACGUGAAGUAAGAAAGAAGUCCACACUGAGCUGACCCUGCUCAGCUGCUUGACCCCAUGGACAAGCAAGUGCCGACGGAGCAUGGGAGACAUCUAAGGGCACCUCUGGGCUGUCACACAGAGCACUGGAAAAUGGCUUUAAGGCUGGAAAGCCAACGUGUCAUUCAGCCUUGUGAGUGGGCAGGGGAAAGGAGACUGCUGGGUGUGACAGGAGCACGACCUGUGCCAUAAGCAGAGAGGUGUAUGAUUGCCGCAGGGUGUGGCACGGAGCAGGAAGACAGGAAAUUGUGCCCACGGUGCCACUUCUCUGCUCAGUUCAGUGCAAAACCCCAAUCUUCAGCAGUCUGCAACUAAAGUUAAGUUGUUCUAAUUAAACUUUUCUAGGUAGGAAAAAAAAAAAGAAAAGAAGUGAAGAACGGAAAGAUUUAGCUGUACCAAGAAAGGAAAUUCGGGUGCAAUCUCGUGCAUUUACUGGCUUUCAGUCCCGGUGAGCUGCUACAGCUCUUCCCCAGUCUGGGCCCAAACUGGGAAUCUCAGAUUUCAUUAGUUCCCCACUAAAUAUUCCUAUUGUCUUUAUUGUAGAAGGCCAGGAGGGUUGCCUUGACCAGACAGCAUGGAGCCUCGGGUCUUGUUUGGACCCCAAGUGGUUUUAGCUGCGUUUAGCAGCUGCCUGUUGGUCAGUGCCCAUUGCGUGACCUGAGGUUGAGCUCUCUGAACAGAGCAUGCUAAAGGGCUGAUGAAGCCAGGCAUCUCUGUGUAGCAAACAACAGCCCUUUCUGUUAAGUGAAGCUGGAGGAGGCUACUGGGCAACUUCCAAACUUCAGCUGGGAACCAGCAAGAAGGCAGUGUUACCAAAACACAUGGAAACGAAUCCAAGUGUGUGCAAGACUGAGGAGGAAGAAUUCACUGCUGGGAAUGGCAGACUCCUCUUGGCAGUGACUUCAGGGUGCUGAUGACUUGCUGUCACGCUGUGGUGCUCGAGGAAGACCUGACCUCUCCAGUGUGAAGCUACCAAGGACAAAUCGUGCCUGACCAGCCAAGUGAUUUGCCUCCUGUGGGGAGACAACAGACGAGAGCAGGGGAUAUCGCAUACCUGGGCUUCAGCAAGGCUUUGAUGUGGCCUCGAUUUGUAAGAUAAAUGGUGGGUGGGCGCACUGCCAGUUCAUGGGGUCGCAGUCGGCAGUAUGGAGCUGGUGGUCAGCUUCUCGUGGCUUCCCCUGGGGGGCCUCUGCCCCAGCAUUGGUGAGGCCACAGCUGGCAUCCUAUUUUGGGCUCCCCAGUAAAAGAGAGAGAUCAACACAGAGGGGCAAGUCCAGAGGAGGCCCACAAAGAUGGUUGUAGGCUUAAGCAUAUGGGAAAUGAGGAGAGGUGUGAGGGGGAAUCUAAUUGCUGUCUUCUGCUACUUCAUGGAUACUCAGAGAGAGGAAGCCAAACUUGGUGCACACUGGAAAGGUGACAGACAAUGGAUACAGUUUGGAACAAGAGAGCUUCUGCUUGGUUAGAAGGGAAAAGUCUUCCCCAUUAUGGGGGCGAAACACUGGGAAGGAGGCCAAAGAGGCGGUGGGAUCUCCAUCUUCAGAGGUAUUCCCCACCUGACUGCACAAAGGCUUUGAGUGAUGUAAUUCAGCUCUGCUCUGAUCCGUGGUUGAACAAGAGACCUCUGGGGUCCACCCCAACCAAAACAUUUCUGUGAUUACUGUAUCAGUGCACUUUGGUGGAAGAGGACAGUAGGAUGUGAUACAUCCCUCUUCUUUUUGAAAGCUGAGAUAUUUGAUAAGAAUCUUUCCCAGUUAUGAGCACGCUGAGAGGUUUAAGACAAGAACUGAGAUCUUACAGGGUACCAGAAAUGAGAUAACUUAUCUUUGCCUGUGGCAAGCAAACUCUACUAUUCACGCUCUAAUUUCCUGGACAACUUGUUUUUCUUCUGGGAACACCUGCUGCAUUCAGAGCACCGUGCGACGAGCGAAGGGGGUCUGGGCUUGGCAGGACCACAGCUGCGUUGGCAGUGUGAGUGCUGAAUUAAGUCUGAUGCUGCUGGAUGCCACAGGACUGCCUUUGGAGAGACAUGUCUAAGAGCAGGCUGCAGGAGGAGAAUACAUCUCGUGUCAGAGGGCACCACGAGAAUCUGCAACCUCUCUGAUAUUUCUGAGACUUACUUCCCUGUGUGAUGAGAGCAAUAGAUAAACGCAAGAGGAAGUAAAAGAUUCCCUAUUCAGAACAGGGUUUGAUGUGUAGUAAACAAGCCCUGAGGCUGUACACUGAAUGAUGAAGAUAUAAACCACACUGAGUGGUGCAGAAACGCGGCACAAAACAAUGUAGUGUGUAGCUGUCCAGAGAAGACUGGUUAAUCUGUCUGGAAAUAAAGAUGUGGAGCACAGACAGUGCACCGCAUCGGUGUGAAAUCGGUGAGCGCUGCAGGUGCUGAGCUCUUUGCAGGAGCAAAUGCAGCUGGAUGAGAGGCGUGCAGGGCAGGAUGGACUCACAUCACUCAGAGCAGGCUGGAUGCGAGCUCCUGGCUCAGAGAAGGGCUCAGGAACUGGGAAGGAUCGGGGUCAGGAGCGUACGUAGACAUGUCCCCAGCUGAGAGAGCAGGCAGGAGUGGUUCCCCCAGUCCCAGCUGCAAGCCUCGAGGAGCUGGGACUUGUUUGUCACAGGAACCCCUUGUACCUGGGAACACAGCAGGGAAGUUUUGGGUGCAGUCCUGCCUUGCAAACAGUCUGGGAUGGAUGGUCAUCCCUCAUACGCCGUAUUCAAACCUAGAAAAACAAGGAAACAAAUGUGAAAAGCAACUCGUGGGCCCAGUCUGGCUGCUGUGACAGAGGUCAUACCCAGCCGGGGCUCUACCCCUCUCCGCAGGACCACCCGAGGCUCUGCUGUGCCCCGGAGCUGUUUGGAGAACACUGACGCUCCUUGGAAAAUGCAAAUCGCCCUCACUGUUCCUGCGUCCUGUCAGGUUGGAUAAAGAUGCUUCAGGUUCACCCACGGCCACCAUGUGAGGUGCUCUCUGCAUCUCCUCCACCCUCCCCACCACCCUUCCCCUUUUGUAUUGGGGUGAACACUGGGGAGCGUUAGACCCAGAACAGCCCCCCGAGGUUCCUCUUUAGCCUGAUAAGACCCGUUAGUACACCUGUACCGAUUUACACUAAUUAGCUGUUCAUCUUUCCUAGUUGUCCCAUAUCAGCCCUCCCAGCAUGGCUGGAUUCAGCCUGGGACGACGGGACUGCCUGCCUGCGUGGCACAAUUCCACCGGUACCCUGAGACUUGUGUGAAAAAUUACCCUGCUGAAGCUACACUAAUCGCAGCAUGCAGUACGUAUACUUGCAAGCACAGUAUGCAAAGUCUGACCCUGCCAGGCACUUAGACUGACCUGAGAAACCAGCACUGACAAAUACCUCUCAAGCCCAUUACAUUCUCACUAAAUCUACUGCUCUCUGCAUCUCCUCUGCAUCAGGCAAGAGCUCCGUGUUAGAAAACAUAUCAGCGGCAAAAUUAAAAGGGAUAACAGUUUAAUUGCUUACUGUAUGAGAUUAAAAGUACAGCAGUGACUGAAAACAGUGUGAGGUCUGAGCUGCCAGCCACGCUGGAGGCCAGGCAUUUAGCCCAGUUCUUGGUGCCACCGCCUUUCCUGCUGACUGUUGUGGAGGAAUUACUGCAGAAAGGGGGCAUCACCCCUGGGAUGGCGGGUGCUGGGUGCAGCCCCAGUUUUGGGGUUCGACUCUGGAAUGGGAGAGCUUUGCCUGUGGCUGUUGGAUUUCUCACUUACCUGCCAGCAACCAGAGGCUUUUGCAGACUGUAGCAUGAGCCUGGGCAGGGGAUGGUGGGGCAGUCUGGCACCUGCCCUUGCUAGCAGUGGUGCCCUUGUGUUUUCUUCGCUGUGCCUGGGCUUGUUGAGGAGCCACGACAGGGUUUCACCUGGCAAUGUGAUAGUCCCUACAUCGAUGUCUCUCUGAGUUACCCACUGCCUGCAGUUGCAGGAUCCUGGAGCAUCAUCUGGCGAUACUCCCUGGCACCUCGGCUUUCUGGAGAGUAAAUUUCCACAGCUGCCUGUAACUGCAUUCCUGGGCAUGCCUGGAGGAGCUGCUUUUUGCGUGAGCUGACCGCUUCCUCCCUGAGGCCAUCUGGGAAGCAGAAAAAAAAACGGCUGCCUGGAGUCCCUGUGCCCUGCAAAGCCAGAUUCCUUAGGAGCGUGCCAAAUGCAUGGCAACUUGAAGCUGAGAAAAUAUGUGUGCAAUAUCCCAGAGCUUUGAAUAUCUGCCCGGGAAGCAGAAUACCUGCGGGCCUUUCUGCCUACAGGAGAUAGGAACAUCCGCCUGGCACCGCGUCCUGCCAUGUGCAUGCACCUGCGGGUGGCCGUGCAGCCUGUUCAGUCCCUGCCCAGACUCGGAUGUCACAGAAUCAUGGAAUGAUUUAGGUUGGAAAAGACCUUCGAGUCUUCAUCAAGACCUUCAUCAAGUCCAACCAUUACACUGUUGUUGCACUGCCGGACAACGUGCACACAUCCGAGUUGACAGCUGGAGGCAAAGGUGGGUCUCCAGGUCACCUCAGAUGGCUCUGGACAGUUGCAGGAAAGACACCAGCUUCACUCGAAUCUCUCACCAGACCUUAUCACCUAGAGAUCCAGGGCUUAGUUUUGUUGCCUUAAUACCAAUCUCUCGGUACUACCUUAGAUUCACCAGGGUGCUCCGUCUGCACGUGAGUCUCCCACAGACCCUAUGUUUGGUCUGUCAGCACUGUAGGGAUGUCUGGGGCACCCCAACGUGUCUGAAGCUGCACUAUAUAAGCCAACAUUUAGGCAACUGAGCUCCUCUGGCCCUGGUAGGAAGCUGAACACCUUGUUCCCCUGUAGGUGUCUGAAUUUGAGCAGAACCCCUUGAUUUGCUCUCCGUGGCCUGCCUGGAUGCAAUCUCUGCUUCUAAAUGGAGUCCGAGGUGACAGCUGAGAUGCUGACGCUGGCACUGGAUAUAUCCGCAGUUAGGUGAGACGAAUCUAGUAGGUGUGAUUCAGGAUUGUGUCCGUUUCACUUGUUCAGAUCUGUCCGACAGCCGUUUUUUUUCAGGAUGCUCUGGAGACCUCCUGGUGGUGGCACAUUUUCAGUGCACGUUGAGACCUGUAGGUCGUGAUGCUUGCAGCCCAUUUUAUAGGGGAGAUGUCGAUUUUACCAUUUGAGUUUCGUGGUCAUAAUGUCAUGAGAUAUCUGAUCUGGCCUGAGAGCUGCCAUGCCGUGGUCUCUGCUGACAGAGGUCCCUGGCACACGUCCCCGUGGGAUCUGAGGACCCCCCACGAGGUGGUGACACCGCUGGUGCCUCUGCGUGCUGCCAGAGGAAUCCCAACUUCCGAACAGGUUUCUGUCGCCGUGGAAUUAGAGCAGCACAAAUGGAACGUCAUACAAGAUGGUGUCAAAAGCUUUAUGAAAAUCCCUGUAUAUGGCAUCUUCCCUGUGACAUCAAGAGGAUUCUUGAAGACAACUGCUGAAUGCUCUGGAUCUGCGGGUUCAGGAGCCCUCCAUGAUCAAGCCCAGCUAAUCUAAAAAAUAACUCAUCUAAGGACUUUCUAAUCUGUUACCUCCUUCCGUCAUAUUGCUGAAGAUUUCACACUUCUGUCGCUGGGGCUCGCGGGAGUAGCUCCCUUUUUAGUAAAGGCAAAAAAGCAAAAGGAGCGUCGUGCUUGUGACUGUCACCUCUCAGCACCAGUUCUGCGUGGUGGAGCACUGGACCACCUCUCACCUUCGUCCCCUGCUUACUGACAGAGCAGCUCCAUCCUCUGAGGCUGUAUAUCCUUUGGAGCCCAGACCUACAGACUUUGUUCCCAAUUCCUCGUGCUUUUCUUAACCGUCCAUCCCAAGUAAUCUGAAGUAUAUUUUUUCUUUUCUUUUCACUUCUGCCCCACGUUUGAAGCCAAUGCGAAGUUUGUGGUUUUGAAAAGUUGAUCUUUUAAUAAAUUUUGACCACUUCUUCUUCAUCAGAACAGUUUGCAUUUGUUGCUGUUGUUUCUCUAGCCACAAGUUCUUUUUAGCGAUCUGCACAGAUUUGCCUUCCCUCUGCUCAUCCUCACUGAUUUUACCAGUCUAUGAAGCAGCUGUUUUUGUCUUGUUACCCUUCCCUUUUGGCCAGAAGCAAAUCUAGACAGCUUUAGCUUUUUUGUUUGUCUGUUUUACCUUUUGGGUAAGAACUGCUCUACCAAUGCAGUCAUAAAAUUUGCCAAGCAAUCAAUGAUUUACAGGAUCCCUGUCAAGCAAUUCUGAAUAGCUAAAAUCCCUCACUACCACCAUGUACCAUCUUUCAGAUGAUUUUGCAAACCACUCAUUAAAAUGGCUGUUCUGUUUUCCUAACUAUAUGCCUCUGCUCUAGCAGCACCCAUUUUUCCUUCUUUAAUUCUUAUUCAGAGACUAUUUCCUCCUGCAGUCUUAUACUCAGUGAAUGUACCUACGCUCUUGAUAUCCUCCUUUUUCUCCUUGUUCGCCCUUCCUGAACAAGCUAUACAGUUGGAUAUUAAUAUUCCAGACAUAAGUUAUCCCAACAAGCCCCUGUUACGCCAAUUAAAUCAGAAUUUUGCUUUGUGUGAAGAAUUCAAGCUCCUCCUGUUUGUUCUGUUUCUAAUGUUUGUGUAUACAGAUUUCUAAGACAUUAAACACGUUGUCCACUAUUGUCCUUGUCCUCUUAUGAACUAUAAAUGGUUCAAAAGCCAUCCUGAAAUCAGUAUGGUUUCCUGCUUGUCAAAAGGUUGUUUUAGAACAUUACUUCUCUGGUGGUUAGAAUCCUAUUAAUUUUCAGCCUAUGUUCAUGGCAAAUUUAUAUUUAUUUAUUCUUGUGCCAAUUUGUGCUUUGGAUUAAA